rnacentral:rRNA from 1 species
CGAGUCGCAAACUCGCGAGAGUAAGCUAAUCUCUUAAAGCCGUUCUCAGUUCGGACUGUAGGCUGCAACUCGCCUACACGAAGUCGGAAUCGCUAGUAAUCGCGGAUCAGCAUGCCGCGGUGAAUACGUUCCCGGGCCUUGUACACACCGCCCGUCACACCAUGGGAGUCGGAAAUGCCCGAAGUCUGUGACCCAACCUUAGGGAGGGAGCAGCCGAAGGCAGGUCGGAUGACUGGGGUGAAGUCGUAACAAGGUAAC